AGUCUGAUGGAGCAACGCCGCGUGAGUGAAGAAGGUUUUCGGAUCGUAAAGCUCUGUUGUUGGUGAAGAAGGAUAGAGGUAGUAACUGGCCUUUAUUUGACGGUAAUCAACCAGAAAGUCACGGCUAACUACGUGCCAGCAGCCGCGGUAAUACGUAGGUGGCAAGCGUUGUCCGGAUUUAUUGGGCGUAAAGCGAGCGCAGGCGGAAGAAUAAGUCUGAUGUGAAAGCCCUCGGCUUAACCGAGGAACUGCAUCGGAAACUGUUUUUCUUGAGUGCAGAAGAGGAGAGUGGAACUCCAUGUGUAGCGGUGGAAUGCGUAGAUAUAUGGAAGAACACCAGUGGCGAAGGCGGCUCUCUGGUCUGCAACUGACGCUGAGGCUCGAAAGCAUGGGUAGCGAACAGGAUUAGAUACCCUGGUAGUCCAUGCCGUAAACGAUGAGUGCUAAGUGUUGGGAGGUUUCCGCCUCUCAGUGCUGCAGCUAACGCAUUAAGCACUCCGCCUGGGGAGUACGACCGCAAGGUUGAAACUCAAAGGAAUUGACGGGGGCCCGCACAAGCGGUGGAGCAUGUGGUUUAAUUCGAAGCAACGCGAAGAACCUUACCAGGUCUGGACAUCUAGUGCCAUUUGUAGAGAUACAAAGUUCCCUUCGGGGACGCUAAGACAGGUGGUGCAUGG
rnacentral:rRNA from 1 species